rnacentral:lncRNA from 1 species
UGAUUGGCCAGUUUAUGUCACAUGACCAUGUGUAUAUGUAUGUCACAUGACAUAACCUGCCAUGGAACUGGGAUGUAGAGCAAGAUCUGUAAUAGGGAUUGGGGGAAGAGUAGCAGUGACUUCAACCUACCAUAUUUCUUAAAAAUAGGUAGGAUGUUACAGUGUACAGCAGCUAAAAGUAAGUAUCCUCUACAAAAAGUUCAUAUCAUCUUUUACCUAUCCUAUUGUUUCUCCAGGUUACUGCAGUGGCUGGUCCCAGCUGUCAUAGGAUAUGCUCUCUUGUGAGCAGACAUGCAGACAUAUUCUGUUAAAGGGGUAAAGCCACAUUUUGAUGGACAUGGACAUAAACCUUCUGGAAUGAUCUGGCUAUGCAUCCUGCUUUUAUGUGACUCUGGCUUCUGAAUUCUUGUCAUGUUCAGAGCAAAGCCUGAGCCCUCUCAGCACACUAAGUGGAAGAAGCUCCUUGGCAUGUAUGGGAAUAAAUCUGACAACCUAUCUGGACUAGGGCAUCACUCAAGCUAUCGCUAUAGAGAAAGAUGCGCACAGAUUCAGGGCAUAGAGACAAGAAAUGAAGUAAGGAUAAAAGUGGAUGUCACUCAUGAUGAAUCCUGGUUUCCAAUCCGGUUGGCUUUUUCACAGAACAAGUGAUAAAAAGGGCAGAAUUCAAUCUUUGAAGAGAACUGAAACCACAAGGAAAACUAAAAGUUGCCUGUCAACAUCUCUUUCCUCUACUGUUGAACCGAAAAAGCUAGACUUUGCUCUCUCACUGAAAUUGUGUUGACUCAGCCUUGCCCAUCA